rnacentral:rRNA from 1 species
UAGACGUCAAAUCAUCAUGCCCCUUAUGUUCUGGGCUACACACGUGCUACAAUGGCCGGUACAGACGGAGGCGAAGCCGCGAGGCGGAGCAAAUCCAAAAAGCCGGUCUCAGUUCGGAUUGCAGGCUGCAAUUCGCCUGCAUGAAGUCGGAAUCGCUAGUAAUCGCAGGUCAGCAUACUGCGGUGAAUACGUUCCCGGGCCUU